rnacentral:tRNA from 1 species
CGGGACGUAGCGCAGUUUGGUAGCGCGUCUGGCUUGGGACCAGAAGGCCGGGGGUUCGAAUCCCUCCGUCCCGACCA